rnacentral:rRNA from 1 species
GUGCAGCAGUCGCGAAUCCUCCGCAAUGCGCGCAAGCGCGACGGGCCAUCCCGAGUGCCGCUCGCUGAGGGCGGCUUUCUCCGGUGUAAGUAGCCGGAGGAAUAAGGAGAGGGCAAGUCUGGUGUCAGCCGCCGCGGCAAUACCAGCUCUCCGAGUGGUGGGGACGAUUAUUGGGCCUAAAGCGUCCGUAGCCGGCUUGACAA